AGGCAGCAGUGGGGAAUAUUGGACAAUGGGCGAAAGCCUGAUCCAGCAAUGCCGCGUGAGUGAUGAAGACCUUAGGGUUGUAAAGCUCUUUUACCAGGGAUGAUAAUGACGGUACCUGGAGAAUAAGCUCCGGCUAACUCCGUGCCAGCAGCCGCGGUAAUACGGAGGGAGCUAGCGUUGUUCGGAAUUACUGGGCGUAAAGAGUACGUAGGCGGUGAUUCAAGUCAGAGGUGAAAACCGGGGGCUCAACUCCAGAACUGCCUUUGAAACUAGAUCGCUAGAAUCAUGGAGAGGUGAGUGGAAUUCCGAGUGUAGAGGUGAAAUUCGUAGAUAUUAGGAAGAACACCAGUGGCGAAGGCGACUCCCUGGACAUAUAUUGACGCUGAGGUACGAAAGCGUGGGGAGCAAACAGGAUUAGAUACCCUGGUAGUCCACGCCGUAAACGAUGAUAACUAGCUGUUCGGACUCUAAUAGUCUGAGUGGCGCAGCUAACGCAUUAAGUUAU
rnacentral:rRNA from 1 species